rnacentral:rRNA from 1 species
UACGGAGAGUGCAAGCGUUGUCCGGAAUCACUGGGCGUAAAGGGCGCGUAGGCGGCUCACGAAGGCUGUGGUGAAAGUCCGGGGCUCAACCUCGGAUCGGCCGUGGCGACUCGUGGGCUGGAGCACUGUAGAGGCGGGUGGAAUUCCGGGUGUAGCGGUGGAAUGCGUAGAGAUCCGGAAGAACACCAGUGGCGAAGGCGGCCCGCUGGGCAGUGGCUGACGCUGAGGCGCGACAGCGUGGGGAGCAAACAGG